AAGAGAACAAGUGGAGAGGUUAACCCUAGACAGGGAGGAAUAUUGAAAUGGGAGGAAAAGAGGAUUGAAAGAAAAGGUAAAUGUGUAAGUUUAGUGGCAAGAAAUAGAAAAAAUUUCACAAGUGGUAAGGGAGAAAUGGCCUGGAAGCAGAAGUAGGGAGUAAAGAAGAUCAUGACCUAACCUUUUGAUCCAAAGGUUUUAUAUGGAAUGUGGGGAAAAGAGCAGCUUUCACUUGAGACAGGGCUGCUGAGUGUUUCUGGGGGAGCCAGGUUUCAAUCAAGUCAAGGAGGGAAGGCUCAAUGAAGAGGUCCAGGCUGUAGGGGGCUGGAUCAUGGGAUGAGAGUUACAGAGGGCUCAGAGUGAAGAUCUGGAAGGGAGGAGAGGAAUGGGGAUUGGGUUGAGAAGGAAGAGAACGGGAUACCAGUUGGGCUUAGGUCUUGGGUGGGGAUCAAGGAUAACAAGGUUUUUUCUACUGUGUUUGGUGAGUUUCCCUGGCUGAGAGUACACCAAGAAGUUGAUCUCCUGGUUGGGGGAGUAGCACCUGACAAUUCAAUAUGUGGAUCCUUCUUGGAAGUAACAGAGCAUGCUGGCCAAAGAGUUACUGCAAAAAUGCUCCUAAAUCAAGUAAACAAGGAAAAGAACAGGAGCUGAUAAUGCUGUUGUUUGUUAAUGCUCUUAUUGUAAACUACUUUUUGGAAGAUAAACCUCUUGUGGGAAGGCCAGGUACUAUGCUCCUUCAUUGGCUUAGAUGAUCCAAGAGACUGAGUAAUCAAGACGGAGCAAAGAGCAAGAAGAGUGUCUGCAACACUUUUAACUUCACAAAGAAGUUACCAGGCAGAAGGGGACAAUUGCAGUGACUGAUUUUCCUGACAAAAUGACAGUGUCUUGACAAUGGCUAUGAAGUCUUGAUGACCCUUAACAUCUCAUAGAACAAAGAAGUCAGUAGAGCAAGGUGAAAAUGUUAAAGGAGGAAUACAAGAAACACAAAAGAAAGAUGACAGGGUGACAAGUUAAACAUAAUCCACGGAAUAAGAAACGUCAGAAGCCUCCUCCGCAGUACACCUACAAACACCUGCCCUUUUGUUAAUAGAUAAAAGAGAGCCUCUCACUGUAACUCCUUAACUUCCUUGGUGGAGGGAAAUCAGAUGGCUAGAAAGUGUGGUGGUGCCUUGUGUGAAAGACUUAACUGGGCAACACAUCCAGCAAGCUGUAUUUAACCUUCAUCAGUCUUUUAUUUGUACCCCCUAAAUCCUGGUUAUUGAAGUCUUCCAACUCCACCUCAUCUCUCCUUUUAUUGUCCCACUCAUAAAAUCUCAUAGGAGUAAAUAGAUUAGACAUAUUUACUGAUUAGGGCAGACAUAUUCCUCAUAUGUACUGAGGAAGAGUGAUAGGGGGAUCACCUUGGCCUGAAACCCUCUAUCAGGAGCCAAUUUUCAAGAAGAUACGAAAAUAAUCAGCCACUUGUGAUCUUCUUUCCUUAAUUAUAUGAGAUCCUAUCCCAAUUUUCAAUCCACUGUCACUGACCUCUGAGGACCUUUGAUGCCUUUGACCUGGCUCUAGUGGAGUACCUUCCAUUCUUCCAAAUAGUCCCCCCAUUUGCCUUGGCCUUAAAUUCCACCAUGAAGGGGGAGUCUUUUAUUUCAAGCAUUUCUUUUUAUCUAAUAAUAAAAGAUAGAGGAAAUAAGAUAGUGGGACUUGAAAU
rnacentral:lncRNA from 1 species